rnacentral:piRNA from 1 species
UGGCUUCUUCAGGAUUGAACUACAGCUGC